AACAUAGUCUAGUGGUAUGAUUCUCGCUUUGGGUGCGAGAGGUCCCGGGUUCGAUUCCCGGUGUU
rnacentral:tRNA from 1 species